GUGCUUCCUUUGGUAGCACAUAUACUAAAAUUAGAAUGAUACAGAGAUGAGUAGCAUGGCCCUUGUGCAAGGAUGACAUGGAAAUCUAUGAAGCAUUCCAUAUUUUA
ensembl:snRNA U6 U6 spliceosomal RNA